rnacentral:rRNA from 1 species
CCUAAACAGAAUGCCGGAGCAGGUAUCAGGCCCAAUACAAAUUAGCCAACAACACCUUGCCAUGCCACACCCACACGGGUCCUCAGCAGUAAUUAACACUAAACCAUGAACGAAAGUUCGACUUGACUAUGAUUAAAAAAGUCGGUAAAUUCCGUGCCAGCCACCGCGGUUACACGGAAGACUAAAAACAAUGAUUCACGGCGUAAAGAGCGACCAGAAAUGCACCAACACCUAAAGGAAAAACUGUCACAAAGCCGUAAAACGCCCCUGUGAAAAGGAAUACACCUUUAACCAACGGAUACUUUCACUCACGAAAGCCAAGGAACAAACUGGGAUUAGAUACCCCACUAUGCUUGGCCCUAAACACAGACAAUACCAAUACAAUAUUGUCCGCCAGAGAACUACAAGCGAAAAGCUCGAAACUCCAAGGACUUGGCGGUGCCCCACACCAACCUAGAGGAGCCUGUCCUAUAAUCGACACCCCACGUUCUACCUCACCAUCAUUUGCCAAUCAGCCUAUAUACCGCCGUCGUCAGCCCACCUUAUAAAAGACCAAAUAGUUGGCACAAAAGAAAGCACAAAUACGUCAGGUCAAGGUGUAGCACAUAGGAUGGAAGAGAUGGGCUACAUUUUCUGCCACAGAACAUACGAACGGCAAAAUGAAACACCCGCCCAAAGGUGGAUUUAGCAGUAAGAUAAUCAAGCGAUAUUAUCUUAAAUCUGCUCUGGGGCGCGCACACACCGCCCGUCACCCUCAUCACCAACAAACUACAAGACCAUAUAACACGUCAG